rnacentral:rRNA from 1 species
AGAGAGCGGCGUACGGGUGCGGAACACGUGUGCAACCUGCCUUUAUCAGGGGGAUAGCCUUUCGAAAGGAAGAUUAAUACCCCAUAAUAUAUUGAUUGGCAUCAAUUAAUAUUGAAAACUCCGGUGGAUAGAGAUGGGCACGCGCAAGAUUAGAUAGUUGGUAGGGUAACGGCCUACCAAGUCAAUGAUCUUUAGGGGGCCUGAGAGGGUGAUCCCCCACACUGGUACUGAGACACGGACCAGACUCCUACGGGAGGCAGCAGUGAGGAAUAUUGGACAAUGGGUGAGAGCCUGAUCCAGCCAUCCCGCGUGAAGGACGACGGCCCUAUGGGUUGUAAACUUCUUUUGUAUAGGGAUAAACCUUUCCACGUGUGGAAAGCUGAAGGUACUAUACGAAUAAGCACCGGCUAACUCCGUGCCAGCAGCCGCGGUAAUACGGAGGGUGCAAGCGUUAUCCGGAUUUAUUGGGUUUAAAGGGUCCGUAGGCGGAUCUGUAAGUCAGUGGUGAAAUCUCAUAGCUUAACUAUGAAACUGCCAUUGAUACUGCAGGUCUUGAGUAAAGUAGAAGUGGCUGGAAUAAGUAGUGUAGCGGUGAAAUGCAUAGAUAUUACUUAGAACACCAAUUGCGAAGGCAGGUCACUAUGUUUUAACUGACGCUGAUGGACGAAAGCGUGGGGAGCGAACAGGAUUAGAUACCCUGGUAGUCCACGCCGUAAACGAUGCUAACUCGUUUUUGGGGCUUCGGCUUCAGAGACUA